GAGAGGACGGUGAGGUGUACAGAUUAAGGGAAAGGCGCGCGCGCGCACACACGCUGUUUCCGCGAUUCGCGUCAAACUGAACUGUGGACUCUGUGACGCCGGUGGUGUGCGACUUGCGAGAGAAGAGAAUAGUGUGUCAGUCGCUCAUACUCCGGGCCGGAGGGGGUGUUUGGAAGCAUGCCCGUAUACACGCAGGUAUUGUCGAGGGCAUGUAACGAGCGAGAACAGAUUAUAGAGGGGACUGGGAAAGCGGAAAAUAUAGUUUUACGUCGCAUUUGUAGGAGUCCAUAAAAUCACUACAUCGAAGUACUCGAGAGAAUUAAUUGCUGCGAAUAUAUUGUGGAGACAGGAGGAUCGUCCUUUCGACAAAUAAUAAAAGUCAAGUUCAAAUUCAUCAACAGCACAUCACAGUUUUAAUGCACCAAAUAACAUCAAAGCACCGCCUGGACGUCGACGACUCUCGCGCGAUGAGCAAUAAACAUUUACCCCCACCGUCGCGGGAGCCGCAGCAUACAUCGCGUCAGUAAGUAUAACUUCGGCGGCUCGUCGUCCCCCAUCAUCGUCAGGCUCCGCCG